UGUGAAGAAUUCAGGUUUCUGUGGUCUUUUGUCGUGUCUGACCUUCAUUCUCUCCGUGUUGGCUAUUUGAACCGGGACCAUCUUGACCAUGACCCUGGAUUUGCCCACAAUGAAAGUCGCUUAUCUCAGCACAUGCAUCCGCCUCCUCGCUCCCUGGCGUUACACAGGUGAUACUGGUUCAUUGAGGAAGCAUGGAUGUCAGCUGAAGAGCUGUAGUGAAUGGACAUCUUCUUUGAAUAUCAAAUGGAAGAAGCUUCAAGAAACACAGCAAGUCUUUUAGAAGUGUUGACAACGUGGUACUCAACUUUUUCAAAGCUGUGGCCCUUCUCUGUUCUCAAACAGCCAUCAUUCCAAAGCCUUAUCUAAGAUCUACAGCCAGCUGCACUGACGUAUCUUGAACUCCUGUAUGGUGCAAGACUAAUAAAGCCAAGGCAGUGAUGAAGGAGCAGGUGAAAGAAGAGUUUUAUUGGAGUUACAGCAUGGUGGCUGGAUCUUGGCUGAAGAGGUAACCAAGGAAGAAGGAAUUCAAGAUGAUGGGCCUGAUAUGAGAAGAUGGAAGUGAAGUUCCUCAAUGUCAACGAUCAUAUGGCUGAAGUAGAUGGCCUUCAGUAUCUACUGCUGAAGCAUCAUUGGUGCACUUGCUCAUGCAUCAUGCAAAGAGAGGCCUGCAAGAAGCUGUCAGUUUCUCUGGAAUAAGACUGAAAGGUCCCCUACUGCUGCAGAGGUGGCUGAAGAGCACUGCAAACUUCAGCUGGUACAGCCUAACCCAACAUGACUGAACUCCUUUUAUGUGACUGUGGAGAGUAUCAUGAGACUUCAAGUUCAAAGACAGGGGCCUGUGAGCUGCCUGUGCUGCACUCGGCGUUCCCAUGGAAAAUCCAAUCCAUUCAAAUGGGAUGGCUGCUCGAUACGAUCACCACCCUCAAAAUCAGGCUUGAGAAGAUUCUACAAGCUGCUUGAUGCUCUACAAGAGUGUUUGAAGAAAGUAUUGUCUGACCCAGAGCUUGUUUCUACAGCCAUCCUUAAUCCAUAAUUCAAAACGUCCAAGGCCAGCGAUGGAGACGUCCUCAAACUAGUACACGCAUCCAAACACCUGGAUGCAUACCUGAUGUGCCCAGCUGAAGGUAUGGACAUCUCAGCCAGCUGUGUCCACCCUCUCACGCAAGCUAAACACAGCCCUGUCUGCCUCUGCUGCCUGUGAGAGGCUUUUUAGUGCAGCUGGAUUGAUCCUCAGCCCUAGAAGACAAUACGUUAUUGCAGUGUUGCUGCUGGACAGGUGCAAUGCUAGAGGUGUGGAGCUGGGAUUUUUUAAGCUUCAACAUCGCCUCCAGUUUCUUGGGGAAAUAGAGAAAUGUGCUUAUUGGCACAAGGCUGAAUUUACACCUUUGGGCUCUAGGGCUAGCCAGGUAUACUUGACCAGCCAAAGCCUUCCCUUCCCAAAGACUCUGUUUUUGUUGAACAACUUUCCUAAUCCUCUUCCCUGUCAGUAAUCAGACAGUUUGGUUUAAGACAAGUGUGCUGGCUCACUGCACUCUGCUAAUGAAGUGGUGGGCCUGCCAUCUAAAUAUGGCUUGAAAAAAAUGGACUUUGUUCAUCUCUGGUAUCCAGAAUGGCACAAGAUCGUGUUGACUUCUAUGAGAUGCAAGUCUGUGUAAGGAACCACAUGCCUUUCAUCUUUCAGCAUUUUAUCAGGCUGCAAUAAGGGUGCAUAUAUCUGCUUGAGCAGUUCAAAUAACUAAUGAAGUGGCUUGGGAGAUUACAGCAAGUAUGACAGUGACCCUGCAGGUGAUCAGGAUAAUCUAUUUGUCAUUUCAAAAUGACAGGUCAUGUAGUUUUUAGCUCUGGGGGUCAGACUCGGUCUCAAAAAUGACAUGUCUAUGGUAGAAAAGCAGGGAGCUCAACUGGGGGAAGAAUGUCAUCAAUACCCUGCCUGCAACCAACUCCUGAGGGUCAAACCCACCCAGUUAGAUUGCUAUGCCCAUCAAACUAGAUAGUGGGUAUGUUUUAUAAAGACUGAAUUCAUAUAAAUCAACAUGAAAAUAAAACUGUGCUAUUCCAUGGCAAAAACUAAGAGGUGCAUUUUUUAAAAAAGGUGAAUGAUUUGAUUGUAGCCAAUAGCAAUGGGCAGAAACAGCAGUAUUUCAGAUUCAAGCAGUCCAUCGUGUGAUGAUCAGCAGGGACGGUCCAUUUUAAACUGUUUCGGAACCUGUGCCUAAAGAUUCAAAGAGCGUUUGUUUCUAAUGUAAUUAGAAUUCUCCUAAAUAAGACUGAAGUUAUGCUGGGUAUUUUUAAUUAAUCUGUAAACCCAUGUUUUACAAAGUUAUUGCUCUAUUUUUUUCAGCCACAUUUGACCUGUAUUCAACUGUAAAAGUUAUAAAGGCAAGACAUGCAAUGUUUUCAACUAUUUUAUUUAUUUAUUUUUGACUUGCUUAUUCCACAGUGGACUGCAUUUUAAUUACAUUGUCAUGGUUUUGGGAACUUGGGAUACGACUUGUUGUAGUUGUGACUUUUUCCUCAUUAUUACUUGAUAAAACACUUCAACCAAUUA